AUUGCGACCCCAGUCACGCGGGAUUACCCGCUGAGUUUAA
rnacentral:rRNA from 1 species